rfam:Streptomyces sp. 13-12-16 NODE_304_length_7716_cov_62.328407, whole genome shotgun sequence.
UCGGCCCCGGUUCACGCCUCCGCACCCCGCGGAUGCGACCCGGUGCC